CCGCACGGACGAGCCAAUCGCUGCCCGCACGUGCUCACCGAACAAGCCCCCGUUCUUUCCCUACAUCAACGUCAGCCAGGAGCGAGCGAUAAAACCACAAAAAUGUAUGAAGGUGGCGACGAAGAUGAAGAAGAUGAUACAGGUUUGGAGUAUUGCAGUGAAAACGAAGGAGGUGCCACAAUGGAUAUCGACAGCGAUGACGAGUAGAUGUUUUAAUGUAGAAGGCAUUGCUGACAAGGCUGAGAAGGAGAUGCUGAAAAAAGGUUGUGCUGCAAGCUUAAGUUGGUCUGUAUAGUGCUUCUUGGCUCUGUAAUACUGUCAUCUAAUGGCAGUAUCUGGAGUUUUAUUUUGUUUGCGUUGAUAGGCCAAUGACUGUUGAUC